rnacentral:sRNA from 1 species
UUCCUCAUUACUGAGGGUCGCGCGCCCACC